GUGGCAGUGGCGUAGUGGUUUGAAUGUUGGACUACGACUCUGGAGACCAGGGUUCGAAUCCCAGCUCAUCCA